rnacentral:rRNA from 1 species
UCGCACCUACCGAUUGAAUGGUCCGGUGAGAUUUCGGGAUCGAAUGAUUGUUGAUUUAUUUUGACUGUUAUUUGAGAACUUACUCAAACCUUAUCAUUUAGAGGAAGGUG